rnacentral:rRNA from 1 species
UAAGGAAUAUUGGUCAAUGGACGCAAGUCUGAACCAGCCAUGCCGCGUGAAGGAUGAAGGUCCUCUGGAUUGUAAACUUCUUUUAUCUGGGACGAAAACGGGAUUUUUAUCUCAAUUGACGGUACCAUAGGAAUAAGCACCGGCUAACUCCGUGCCAGCAGCCGCGGUAAUACGGAGGGUGCAAGCGUUAUCCGGAUUUACUGGGUUUAAAGGGUGCGUAGGCGGAUGAAUAAGUCAGUGGUGAAAUCUCCGAGCUUAACUCGGAAACUGCCGUUGAUACUAUUUGUCUUGAAUAUUGUGGAGGUAAGCGGAAUAUGUCAUGUAGCGGUGAAAUGCUUAGAUAUGACAUAGAACACCAAUUGCGAAGGCAGCUUGCUACACAAUCAUUGACGCUGAGGCACGAAAGCGUGGGGAUCAAACA